UACGUAGGCAGCGAGCGUUGUUCGGAGUUACUGGGCGUAAAGGGUGUGUAGGCGGUUUUCUAAGUUUGGUGUGAAAUCUCCCGGCUCAACCGGGAGGGUGCGCCGAAAACUGGGGAGACUAGAGUGCGGGAUGGGAGAGUAGAAUUCCUGGUGUAGCGGUGAAAUGCGUAGAUAUCAGGAGGAAUACCGGUGGUGUAGACGGCUCUCUGGACCGCCACUGACGCUGAGACACGAAAAGCGUGGGUAGCAAACAGG
rnacentral:rRNA from 1 species